rnacentral:lncRNA from 1 species
AAAACAUCUUACGUUAGUCUGACACUUACGUGGAUCUAGCUACCUAUAGUAGCUCCUUUAACAAACAUGGAAAAUUGUAAUAUUGUUAUCCCCAUUUUACAGAUGUGGAACCCGAGGCUCGAGCAGCUAAAGGACGUGUAGGGAUGUUUUCUCUGUAGGGAAUAGUGUGAGAACCCAGGACACAUGGAGGUGGGGAAGAGAGUGUGCCAAGUGGGGGUGAACUUUCCUCACUUCACUGUUUCAUCCGGGACCAGCUCUCCAUGCCCAGGAAUCUGGGCAUAAAGGCCACUCCAUCUAGCUGUGAUGAGAACGGCAGCUUGAGUUGGAAGAACAUUUGUUGCAUAAUGAAAGCAGCCCAUAUGCGUCCAGCUGAGCCUCUAGGUCAAGAGAGUUUCCACCCAAAUAAUUGAGGGAAUAUGGUGACACCAUACUUACUGUGCUGUUUUCCUGAGCCAGGAAAUUUCACAUGUCUUCAGAGGUGGCGGCUGAACAGAGGCCUGCAGAGAGCUGAUUGGGAGAAUAACAUGGCAGUUACUGGUCCAAGACGGUGGGAGAUAUGUGGAGAAGACCUGAAUCCAAUCCACAAUCUACAGCCACGUCCAGGAGUCUAGCAGGAACACAUUCUAGGUCAGCUAAAGCCCAGGUGUCCAGCAGAGUGAGAAAAAUGUUUGUCGUUGUAAGCUAUUAAACUUUCAAGGAUGCUUGUUACAUAGUAGUAUUGGAGAAGAAGCUGACUGGUACAUUGAGACUGAGAGUCAAACCCAGCCUGUGUCCACAGUGCCUGCUCUUGGCUAUCCCACUCCCUCUUCUUACCUCUAAGGGCACUUAUUUUUGUCUUAGCAUAUUAAUACCCUUUUUCUCUUCCUCCUGUUAGACUGUCAGUUCCUAAAGGACAGAAAAUUCAUCUCUCCUCUGCCCCCC